rnacentral:rRNA from 1 species
UCAUCCGAACCCUUCGGGGGGACGUUGAUGGAAUGAGCGGCGGACGGGUGAGUAACACGUAAAGAACCUGCCCUCAGGUCUGGGAUAACCACGAGAAAUCGGGGCUAAUACCGGAUGGGUCAUCGGACCGCAUGGUCCGAGGAUGAAAGGCGCUUCGGCGUCGCCUGGGGAUGGCUUUGCGGUGCAUUAGCUAGUUGGUGGGGUAAUGGCCCACCAAGGCGACGAUGCAUAGCCGACCUGAGAGGGUGAUCGGCCACACUGGGACUGAGACACGGCCCAGACUCCUACGGGAGGCAGCAGUAGGGAAUCUUCCACAAUGGACGAAAGUCUGAUGGAGCAACGCCGCGUGAACGAUGAAGGCCUUCGGGUCGUAAAGUUCUGUUGUAAGGGAAGAACAAGUGCCGCAGGCAAUGGCGGCACCUUGACGGUACCUUGCGAGAAAGCCAC